UACGUAGGCAGCGAGCGUUGUUCGGAGUUACUGGGCGUAAAGCGUGCGUAGGCGGUGUCUUAAGUUUGUUGUGAAAUCUCCCGGCUUAACUGGGAGGGUGCGCCGGAAACUGGAGUGCUCGAGCGUGGGAGAGGAAAGCGGAAUUCCUGGUGUAGCGGUGAAAUGCGUAGAUAUCAGGAGGAACACCUGCGGUGUAGACGGCUUUCUGGACCAUUGCUGACGCUGAGACACGAAAGCGUGGGUAGCAAACAGG
rnacentral:rRNA from 1 species